rnacentral:rRNA from 1 species
UACGGAGGGGACUAGCGUUGUUCGGAAUUACUGGGCGUAAAGCGCACGUAGGCGGAUUUGUUAGUCAGGGGUGAAAUCCCGAGGCUCAACCUCGGAACUGCCUUUGAUACUGCAAAUCUCGAGUCCGGAAGAGGUGAGUGGAAUUCCUAGUGUAGAGGUGAAAUUCGUAGAUAUUAGGAAGAACACCAGUGGCGAAGGCGGCUCACUGGUCCGGUACUGACGCUGAGGUGCGAAAGCGUGGGGAGCAAGCAGG